rnacentral:tRNA from 1 species
GCCCAGGUGGCGAAAUUGGUAGACGCGCCAGCUUGAGGGGCUGGUGACCUUAUGGUUGUUCGGGUUCGAGUCCCGAUCUGGGCA